rnacentral:rRNA from 1 species
GAUGAACGCUGGCGGCGUGCCUAAUACAUGCAAGUCGAGCGAACGGACGAGAAGCUUGCUUCUCUGAUGUUAGCGGCGGACGGGUGAGUAACACGUGGAUAACCUACCUAUAAGACUGGGAUAACUUCGGGAAACCGGAGCUAAUACCGGAUAAUAUUUUGAACCGCAUGGUUCAAAAGUGAAAGACGGUCUUGCUGUCACUUAUAGAUGGAUCCGCGCUGCAUUAGCUAGUUGGUAAGGUAACGGCUUACCAAGGCAACGAUGCAUAGCCGACCUGAGAGGGUGAUCGGCCACACUGGAACUGAGACACGGUCCAGACUCCUACGGGAGGCAGCAGUAGGGAAUCUUCCGCAAUGGGCGAAAGCCUGACGGAGCAACGCCGCGUGAGCGAUGAAGGUCUUCGGAUCGUAAAACUCUGUUAUUAGGGAAGAACAUAUGUGUAAGUAACUGUGCACAUCUUGACGGUACCUAAUCAGAAAGCCACGGCUAACUACGUGCCAGCAGCCGCGGUAAUACGUAGGUGGCAAGCGUUAUCCGGAAUUAUUGGGCGCAAAGCGCGCGUAGGCGGUUUUUUAAGUCUGAUGUGAAAGCCCACGGCUCAACCGUGGAGGGUCAUUGGAAACUGGAAAACUUGAGUGCAGAAGAGGAAAGUGGAAUUCCAUGUGUAGCGGUGAAAUGCGCAGAGAUAUGGAGGAACACCAGUGGCGAAGGCGACUUUCUGGUCUGUAACUGACGCUGAUGUGCGAAAGCGUGGGGAUCAAACAGGAUUAGAUACCCUGGUAGUCCACGCCGUAAACGAUGAGUGCUAAGUGUUAGGGGGUUUCCGCCCCUUAGUGCUGCAGCUAACGCAUUAAGCACUCCGCCUGGGGAGUACGACCGCAAGGUUGAAACUCAAAGGAAUUGACGGGGACCCGCACAAGCGGUGGAGCAUGUGGUUUAAUUCGAAGCAACGCGAAGAACCUUACCAAAUCUUGACAUCCUUUGACAACUCUAGAGAUAGAGCUUUCCCCUUCGGGGGACAAAGUGACAGGUGGUGCAUGGUUGUCGUCAGCUCGUGUCGUGAGAUGUUGGGUUAAGUCCCGCAACGAGCGCAACCCUUAAGCUUAGUUGCCAUCAUUAAGUUGGGCACUCUAAGUUGACUGCCGGUGACAAACCGGAGGAAGGUGGGGAUGACGUCAAAUCAUCAUGCCCCUUAUGAUUUGGGCUACACACGUGCUACAAUGGACAAUACAAAGGGCAGCGAAACCGUGAGGUCAAGCAAAUCCCAUAAAGUUGUUCUCAGUUCGGAUUGUAGUCUGCAACUCGACUACAUGAAGCUGGAAUCGCUAGUAAUCGUAGAUCAGCAUGCUACGGUGAAUACGUUCCCGGGUCU